rnacentral:rRNA from 1 species
AUACAGAGGUCCCAAGCGUUGUUCGGAUUCACUGGGCGUAAAGGGUGCGUAGGCGGUCGGGUAAGUCUGACGUGAAAUCUUCAAGCUCAACUUGGAAACUGCGUCGGAUACUAUUCGGCUGGAGGAAUGGAGGGGAGACUGGAAUACUUGGUGUAGCAGUGAAAUGCGUAGAUAUCAAGUGGAACACCAGUGGCGAAGGCGAGUCUCUGGACAUUUCCUGACGCUGAGGCACGAAAGCCAGGGGAGCAAACGGGA